GCAGACGUUAAUGACCUGGUGUGCCGUAUACCUGAUGGCCACCCGCUGCUGGGUGUGCAUGUGCUGCAGAUAUCUUGCUGCCUCUUUGCAGAGCUGUGCACAGAAGAGGCUGAGAGAGCACUUAUUGAAGAUUAAAACUUACACGAGGAUAAUCAGUGUGCCAGGUGGACUGCGGGAUUUCUGCCCAGAAUUUCUCUUCAAGAGCAGCACAGUGGGAUGGCUACGUGACUGAAAAGUACAAGGGCAUGACUGUGGAUCUAAUCACUCAGUAAUAGCUGUAUGCAGAUGAGAUGUCUGUGUUGGAAGGUUCAAUUUAUGGACGGCUGGCUGCUUGCUGCUGCUGUUGAAUGUAGAAAAUCAGCGGUCCUGUUUUACAGUUCCAGCACUGUCAGAAGCUCCUAAUGAAUCACCAGGAGGUCUGUGUGCACAGCAGUACGAAUGCUGGGCAACACUGAGCCCACGGCAGCCUUUCGUGGGUGAGCCUCCCACUGCCUUCUGUGAGAGCUGGCUUGCAGACCUGAUCCUCCUGAAUCGUACUUCAGCCAUGGAAGUGAAAAGCAUUGUCAGAGACGUUUCCUCUGAUCUGACUAAAUGUUGUUUACCCCAGCUUCUUCUUUCAACCAGUCUGUCAAACAAAAAUGCUCAGCAAUCUUUUAAUUCAGAACCUGCAUCUCAAGGUAAAGGAACCUUCCUGUGCUUGGGGGCAAAUCAUAAUGAAAAUUCUGGGUUUAACAACAUCAUUUAAAUGGUAAAAUACUUAUUUUAUCCUUCUCAAAUGCAUUUAAACUAUGGGCCCUCUAUUAUGAUUAUUUAUGGUUAUCAUUUUGGCUGCUCCGAGCAGCAGUGUCUGGGCUUAGUUGUCUUCUCUGCUCAGGAUGAAAAAUGAAGUUUGAAAGAAUGUUCAUUACCUUCACGGCAUGUGUUGACUGCACUGAUUCUUCAUCUGCCAAACUGCAUAUGCUGGCUUCUGUCUCAUCUGGAGACCUCUGGAACUAAGAGCAAUUGAUCAAAUUAAUUCUAAUAUAAUCCCACACAGACCUUGCUACCACUGCAGCUUGUUAACCUUAUAUGCAAACAGUUUAUUUAAACUAUCUGGAUGACAUCAUGAAAACUACCUUCAAUA